ensembl:lncRNA
AUGGCAGUGCAGGGUUUGCAUGGCAGUGCAGCAUCACAGCGUUGCAUGGUGGCAGAGCUGUGGUGGUGCAACGUUGCGUUGGGGUGCAAUGCUGCACAGUGUUGUUGCAUCACAUGGCAUGCAGCAUUGCACAGCUGUGCACCAUCACAGCCCAUUAAAGUGUUGCACAGUUGUGUGGUGUGGCAUGCAGCUCUGCACACCAUUGUGGUAUUGCACAGCAUGCAGCAAUGUGCAGCAUUGCUCAGUAUCUGCAGUGUUGCACAACCCCAUAGCAUGGCAUUGCACAGCAUGCCGCAUUUUACAAUGUGCAGCAUUGCACACCAGCACUGCACUGCACAUGUGACAUUGCACAGCACUGCACACCAGCACUGCACAGCAUGCAGCAUUGCACACCAGCACUGCAUUGCACACCAGCGCAGCAUUGCACAGCAUUGCAUAGCACACACCACUGCACAGCAUGCGAUACUGCACGCCGGGAUAGCAUUGCACUGCAUGCAGCAUUGCACACCAGCAUUUCACUGCAAAAUAUGCACCACUGCACACCAGCACUGCACAGCAUGCAGCACUGCAUUCCAGCACAGCAUUGCACAGCAUGCAGCACUGUGCACCAGCACAGCAUUACACAACAUGCAGCAUUGCAUACCAGCACAGCAUUGCACUGCAGGCAGUACUGCACAGCACACACCAUUGCACACCAGCAUAGCACUGUAUAGCAUGCAGCAUUGUAUACCAGCAUACAGCAUUGCACUGCACGCAGCAUUGCACACCAGCACAGCAUGCACCAUUGCACACCUGCACUGCACAGCAUGCAGCAUCGCACACCAGCAUUUCACUCCACAAUAUGCAACACUGCACAUCAGCACAGCACUGCACAGCAUGCAGCACUGCAUAACAGCACGGCACAUCAUUAAAACUGCACACCAGCACAGCACUGCAUUGCAGGCAGCACUGCACAGCACACACCAUUGCACACCAGCACAGCAUUGCACCGCAUGCAGCACUGCACAGCGCUGCACUCCAAAAUAUGCAACACUGCACACCAGCACAGCACUGCACAGCACACAGCAUUGCACACCAGCACAGCACUGCACAACAUGCACCACUGCACACCGGCACUGCACUGUACAGCACACAGCAUUGCACACCAGCACACAGCAUUACAAUCAUGCAACACUGCACACCAGCACAGCAUUGCAUUGCAGGCAGCACUCCACAGCACACACCAUUGCACACCAGCAGAGCAUUGCACAGCACUGCACAGUGUGCAGCACUGCACACCAGCACACAGCAUUGCACAGCAUGCAGCACUGCACAGCGUUGCACUCCAAAAUAUGCAACAUUGCACACCAGCACAGCACUGCACAGCAUGCACCACUGCACGCCGACACUGCACUGCACAGCAUGCAGCAUUGCAUACCAGCACGCAGCAUUGUGAUCAUGCAAUACUGCACACUAGUACAGCAUUGCUCAUCAUGCAGCACUGCACACCAGCACAGCAUUGCAUUGCAGGCAGCACUGCACAGCACACACCAUUGCACACCAGCACAGCAUUGCACAGCACUGCACAGCGUGCAGCAUUGCAUACCAGCACACAGCAUUGCACAGCACGCAGCAUUGCACACCAGCAUUUCAUUCCACAAUAUGCAACACUGCACAUCAGCACUGCACAUCGUGCAGCAUUGCACACCAGCACAGCAUUGCACAGCAUGCAGCAUUGCAUACCAGCACACAGCACAGCACAUCAUGCAAAACUGCACACCAGCACAGCAAUGCAUUGCAGGCAGCGCUGCACAGCACACACCAUUGCACACCAGCACAGCACUGCACAGCGUGCAGCACUGCACACCAGCACAGCACUGCACACCAGCACACAGCACUGCACAGCACACAGCAUUGCACAUCAGCACAGCAUUGCAUUGCAUGCAGCAUUGCACACCAGAACUGCACUGCACAGCACACAGCAUUGCACACCAGCACCGCACUGCACAGCACGCAGCACUGCACACCAGCACAGCAUUGCACAGCACGCAGCAUUGCACACCAGCACCGCACUGCACAGCACGCAGCACUGCACACCAGCACAGCAUUGCACAG